rnacentral:rRNA from 1 species
UACGUCGGGGGCGAGCGUUAUCCGGAAUUACUGGGCGUAAAGGGUGCGUAGGCGGCCCAACAAGUCAGAGGUGAAAGGCUACGGCUCAACCGUAGUAAGCCUUUGAAACUGUAGGGCUUGAGUGCAGGAGAGGAGAGUGGAAUUCCCAGUGUAGCGGUGAAAUGCGUAGAUAUUGGGAGGAACACCAGUUGCGAAGGCGACUCUCUGGACUGUAACUGACGCUGAGGCACGAAAGCGUGGGGAGCGAACAGG